rnacentral:rRNA from 1 species
UACGUAGGGGGCAAGCGUUAUCCGGAUUUACUGGGUGUAAAGGGAGCGUAGGCGGCUUAGUAAGUCAGAAGUGAAAGCCCGUGGCUCAACCGCGGAACUGCUUUGGAAACUGUAUAGCUUGAGUACUGGAGAGGCAGGCGGAAUUCCUAGUGUAGCGGUGAAAUGCGUAGAUAUUAGGAGGAACACCAGAGGCGAAGGCGACUCACUGGACUGUAACUGACGCUGAGGCUCGAAAGCGUGGGGAGCAAACAGG